rnacentral:rRNA from 1 species
CCUACGGGAGGCUGCAGUCGAGAAUCAUUCACAAUGGGGGAAACCCUGAUGGUGCGACGCCGCGUGGGGGAAUGAAGUUCUUCGGAUUGUAAACCCCUGUCAUGUGGGAGCAAAUUAAAACGAUAGUACGACAAGAGGAAGAGACUGCUAACUCUGUGCCAGCAGCCGCGGUAAUACAGAGGUCUCAAGCGUUGUUCGGAAUCACUGGGCGUAAGGGGUGCGGAGGCUGUUUCGUAAGGCGGGUGUGAAAGGCGGGGGCUCAACCCGAGAACGGCACAUGAUACUGGGAGACUAGAGUACAGGAGGGGGAAGCGGAAUUCUCGGUGUAGCAGUGAAAUGCGUAGAUAGCGAGAGGAACACUCGUGGCGAAGGCGGGUUACUGGACAGUAACUGACGCUGAGGCACGAAGGCCAGGGGAGCGAAAGGGAUUAGAUACCCUUGUAGUC